CGUUGAAGCACCGUUUCCCGUACGUUCACUGUAGUUAAGCAACGUCGAGCUUGGUCACUAUCUAGAUGGGUGACCUCUUGGGAAUACCAGAUGCU